rnacentral:rRNA from 1 species
ACGCUGGCGGCAUGCUUUACACAUGCAAGUCGGACGGCAGCACAGGGAAGCUUGCUUCUUGGGUGGCGAGUGGCGAACGGGUGAGUAACAUAUCGGAACGUACCGAGCAGUGGGGGAUAACUAAUCGAAAGAUUAGCUAAUACCGCAUAUUUUCUGAGGAAGAAAGCAGGGGACCUUUGGGCCUUGCGCUGUUUGAGCGGCCGAUAUCUGAUUAGCUAGUUGGUGGGGUAAAGGCCUACCAAGGCGACGAUCAGUAGCGGGUCUGAGAGGAUGAUCCGCCACACUGGGACUGAGACACGGCCCAGACUCCUACGGGAGGCAGCAGUGGGGAAUUUUGGACAAUGGGCGCAAGCCUGAUCCAGCCAUGCCGCGUGUCUGAAGAAGGCCUUCGGGUUGUAAAGGACUUUUGUCAGGGAAGAAAAGGGCGGGGUUAAUACCCCUGUCUGAUGACGGUACCUGAAGAAUAAGCACCGGCUAACUACGUGCCAGCAGCCGCGGUAAUACGUAGGGUGCGAGCGUUAAUCGGAAUUACUGGGCGUAAAGCGGGCGCAGACGGUUACUUAAGCAGGAUGUGAAAUCCCCGGGCUCAACCUGGGAACUGCGUUCUGAACUGGGUGACUAGAGUGUGUCAGAGGGAGGUAGAAUUCCACGUGUAGCAGUGAAAUGCGUAGAGAUGUGGAGGAAUACCGAUGGCGAAGGCAGCCUCCUGGGAUAACACUGACGUUCAUGCCCGAAAGCGUGGGUAGCAAACAGGAUUAGAUACCCUGGUAGUCCACGCCCUAAACGAUGUCGAUUAGCUGUUAGCAGCAUGACUGCUUAGUAGCGAAGCUAACGCGUGAAAUCGACCGCCUGGGGAGUACGGUCGCAAGAUUAAAACUCAAAGGAAUUGACGGGGACCCGCACAAGCGGUGGAUGAUGUGGAUU